rnacentral:rRNA from 1 species
UACGAGGGGUGCAAGCGUUGCUCGGAAUUAUUGGGCGUAAAGGGUUGGUAGGUGGUCUUGUUUGUCUAGGGUGAAAUCCCAUGGCUUAACUGUGGAAGUGCCCUAGAAACGGCGAGGCUGGAGUGCCGGAGGGGAGAGUGGAAUUCCCGGUGUAGCGGUGAAAUGCGUAGAGAUCGGGAGGAAUACCGGUGGCGAAAGCGACUCUCUGGACGGCAACUGACGCUGAGGCACGAAAGCGUGGGGAGCAAACAGGG